CCUACGGGAGGCAGCAGUAGGGAAUCUUCCGCAAUGGACGAAAGUCUGACGGAGCAACGCCGCGUGAACGAUGAAGGCCUUCGGGUCGUAAAGUUCUGUUGUUAGGGAAGAACGAGUGCUAGUUAAAUAAGCUGGCACCUUGACGGUACCUAACCAGAAAGCCACGGCUAACUACGUGCCAGCAGCCGCGGUAAUACGUAGGUGGCAAGCGUUGUCCGGAAUUAUUGGGCGUAAAGCGCGCGCAGGCGGUUUCUUAAGUCUGAUGUGAAAGCCCCCGGCUCAACCGGGGAGGGUCAUUGGAAACUGGGAAACUUGAGUGCAGAAGAGGAAAGUGGAAUUCCAAGUGUAGCGGUGAAAUGCGUAGAGAUUUGGAGGAACACCAGUGGCGAAGGCGACUUUCUGGUCUGUAACUGACGCUGAGGCGCGAAAGCGUGGGGAGCAAACAGGAUUAGAUACCCUGGUAGUCCACGCUGUAAACGAUGAGUGCUAAGUGUUAGAGGGUUUCCGCCCUUUAGUGCUGAAGUUAACGCAUUAAGCACNCGCGUGGAGACGUCGCAGANGAACUAAGAAGUAGAGNGNGAGAGNGCGAGCGACGACGAGGGAGAGG
rnacentral:rRNA from 1 species